CACGUAGGGGGCGAGCGUUGUCCGGAUUUAUUGGGCGUAAAGAGCUCGUAGGCGGCUCAGUAAGUCGGGUGUGAAAACUCCAGGCUCAACCUGGAGACGCCACCCGAUACUGCUGUGGCUAGAGUCCGGUAGGGGAGCAUGGAAUUCCUGGUGUAGCGGUGAAAUGCGUAGAGAUCAGGAAGAACAUCGGUGGCGAAGGCGCUCUGCUGGACCAUAACUGACACUCAGGGACGAAAGCUAGGGGAGCGAAUGGG
rnacentral:rRNA from 1 species